rnacentral:rRNA from 1 species
CCUGGCUCACGAUGAACGCUAGCUACAGGCUUAACACAUGCAAGUCGAGGGGCAGCAUGGUCUUAGCUUGCUAAGGCCGAUGGCGACCGGCGCACGGGUGAGUAACACGUAUCCAACCUGCCGUCUACUCUUGGACAGCCUUCUGAAAGGAAGAUUAAUACAAGAUGGCAUCAUGAGUCCGCAUGUUCACAUGAUUAAAGGUAUUCCGGUAGACGAUGGGGAUGCGUUCCAUUAGAUAGUAGGCGGGGUAACGGCCCACCUAGUCUUCGAUGGAUAGGGGUUCUGAGAGGAAGGUCCCCCACAUUGGAACUGAGACACGGUCCAAACUCCUACGGGAGGCAGCAGUGAGGAAUAUUGGUCAAUGGGCGAGAGCCUGAACCAGCCAAGUAGCGUGAAGGAUGACUGCCCUAUGGGUUGUAAACUUCUUUUAUAAAGGAAUAAAGUCGGGUAUGCAUACCCGUUUGCAUGUACUUUAUGAAUAAGGAUCGGCUAACUCCGUGCCAGCAGCCGCGGUAAUACGGAGGAUCCGAGCGUUAUCCGGAUUUAUUGGGUUUAAAGGGAGCGUAGAUGGAUGUUUAAGUCAGUUGUGAAAGUUUGCGGCUCAACCGUAAAAUUGCAGUUGAUACUGGAUAUCUUGAGUGCAGUUGAGGCAGGCGGAAUUCGUGGUGUAGCGGUGAAAUGCUUAGAUAUCACGAAGAACUCCGAUUGCGAAGGCAGCCUGCUAAGCUGCAACUGACAUUGAGGCUCGAAAGUGUGGGUAUCAAACAGGAUUAGAUACCCUGGUAGUCCACACGGUAAACGAUGAAUACUCGCUGUUUGCGAUAUACAGCAAGCGGCCAAGCGAAAGCGUUAAGUAUUCCACCUGGGGAGUACGCCGGCAACGGUGAAACUCAAAGGAAUUGACGGGGGCCCGCACAAGCGGAGGAACAUGUGGUUUAAUUCGAUGAUACGCGAGGAACCUUACCCGGGCUUAAAUUGCAGAUGAAUUACGGUGAAAGCCGUAAGCCGCAAGGCAUCUGUGAAGGUGCUGCAUGGUUGUCGUCAGCUCGUGCCGUGAGGUGUCGGCUUAAGUGCCAUAACGAGCGCAACCCUUGUUGUCAGUUACUAACAGGUUCCGCUGAGGACUCUGACAAGACUGCCAUCGUAAGAUGUGAGGAAGGUGGGGAUGACGUCAAAUCAGCACGGCCCUUACGUCCGGGGCUACACACGUGUUACAAUGGGGGGUACAGAGGGCCGCUACCACGCGAGUGGAUGCCAAUCCCAAAAACCUCUCUCAGUUCGGACUGGAGUCUGCAACCCGACUCCACGAAGCUGGAUUCGCUAGUAAUCGCGCAUCAGCCACGGCGCGGUGAAUACGUUCCCGGGCCUUGUACACACCGCCC